rnacentral:misc_RNA from 1 species
GAAACGUGAUAGGUAAUGUGAAUUGCAGAAUUCCGUGAAUCAUCGAAUCUUUGAACGCACAUUGCGCCUUCUGGUAUUCCGGUAGGUAUGCCCGUUUGAGCGUCAGCAAAACACCCUCAGCUUAAGUAUUUUUUGUAUUCAACGCUGGUCCUGAGCGGUGGAUGCUGGUGGAUAGUCAUUUCCACCUGUACCCUCCUUAAACUUGCUAUACGACCGCAAGCCCUUCUAGCCAGGUCAAUGGAGUGGUGUUACAAUCUUCCAGAAAGCCUGCUGGUAAACUGCUUUACGGCGUUUAAACCUUAAUAUCCCCCUCCCAGCGGGUUGGCCUCAGAUCAGGCAAGAAUACUCGCUGAACUUAA